rnacentral:lncRNA from 1 species
GGGGAGAGAGAGAUGCUGCUUGGCACUGAACCAAAGAGAGAGAGAGAGAGAGAGGGGGAGGGAGGGAGAUGGGGAGAGAGAGAUGCUGUAAGGCAAUGAAACAAAGAGAGAGAGAGAGGGGGGAGGGAGAGAGGGAGAGAGAGAUGCUGCAAGGCAAUGAAACAAAGAGCGAGACAAGGACAGGAGGUAGAUACAGUAUGACAAACAGAGAGGGGGAGAGAGGGAGACGACAGAGAGAGGAGAGAGGAGAGGGAGAGAGAGAGAGAGGAGAGAGGAGAGGGAGAGAGAGAGAGAGAGAGGAGAGAGGAGAGGGAGAGAGGAAAGACAACAGAGAGAGAGGAUGGAGAGAGAGGGAGAGAGAGGAGAGGGAGAGAGAGGGAGUGGGAGAGAGAGAGGAAAGACAACAGAGAGAGAGGAGGGAGAGAAAGGGAGAGAGAGAGGAGAGGGAGAGAGGCGAGGGAGAGAGGAAAGACAACAGAGAGAGAGAAGACAGAGAGAGACGACAGAGAGAGAGGAGGGAGAGAAAGGGAGAGAGAGAGAGGAGAGGGAGAGAGGAAAGACAACAGAGAGAGAGAAGACAGAGAGAGACGACAGAGAGAAAGGAGAAGCUGCUUAGCACUGCAACACAGAGACAGUAUAAUAUGGGUUUGUAUGUCGCUUGCUCCCUCGUGGUCAUCAUAAAGAUAAUGUGUUUUCAAUGACUUACCUGGUUAAAUAAAUACAAACAAAAAAAAACAUUGUAACUAAAGACAUGUAUUAACAGCAGAACCACUGGGCCUCGUGGGAAACCCCCUUCAAGCCAAACGAGCAGUCAUUCUGACUAACAUUCUAACAGCAGAACCACUGGGCCUCGUGGGAAACCC